rnacentral:rRNA from 1 species
UACGGAGGGUGCAAGCAUUGAUCGGAAUUACUGGGCGUAAAGGGCGCGUAGGCGGCUGUAAAAGUCAGAUGUGAAAUUCCGGGGCUCAACCCCGGAGCUGCAUUUGAAACUCUACAGCUAGAGUACAGUUAGGGAAAACGGAAUUCCACGUGUAGCGGUGAAAUGCGUAGAUAUGUGGAAGAACACCGGUGGUGAAGACGGUUUUCUGGGCUGUAACUGACGCUGAGGCGCGAAAGCUAGGGGAGCAAACAGG